UUUAAGGGCUGACUGCCACUACAGAAGGAUUUCUUUCUGGAGAUCACUCUCUUUGGAAUUUUUCUGUAAGCCUAAGACAUGGGGCACAGCAGUGUGUGAAAACUUGGAGAAGCUUCAAGGGACAAGAUAUGUCUUAGGCAAGAAGGAGCCAUUACCUGGUGCACAAAUGCCACCCGGAAGCUCAGGGGCACAGAGAAUGGUGCUAUCCAGCCUGCUUAGAACCGAAAGCAUCACAAACCCAGCACCUCUAAUAAGGAGAUUCAUAUCCCUGGGGUGAUUCUGGAGAUGAAGGACAACCAGACCAGGAAAACCAAAAUAUUGCCAGUACAGCUUCAGGUGAUACUGGUUACCAAAAGGAGCCUCCCAGUCUCUACGUGCUAAUCCUUGGGGCACAGCAGCUAAAAUCCAAAUGCACCUAAGUUUUGCAAUUGAAGAUGCAGGCAGCAUCAGCAACAGGCAUCUUCAGCAUGGACAGUGCACUGACUGAUUUUUCAAGUGGGAAGAGAGCCUUCCCUGGGAAGGAGAAGGGCUACAAGGCCUGACAGGACACCAUUGAGGCUGACGAAAUAGAGGCUUGGCAGCAAGAGAUGUGUGUGUCAUUCAUUACAGGUUUAGACUUAAUGACAGCCUCUUGCCCUUGAUCUUUGGAGCUGUGUGAGGGAGCACAGGGGAGGAAGAGCUUAAAUGUCAGCUCUGCACCGAGGCAGGAGAACUCCCCGCAUUAGCGGCGGCUGGCCAGGAU
ensembl:lncRNA